rnacentral:rRNA from 1 species
GAUGAACGCUGGCGGCGUGCCUAAUACAUGCAAGUCGAGCGAACAGACGAGGAGCUUGCUCCUCUGACGUUAGCGGCGGACGGGUGAGUAACACGUGGAUAACCUACCUAUAAGACUGGGAUAACUUCGGGAAACCGGAGCUAAUACCGGAUAAUAUAUUGAACCGCAUGGUUCAAUAGUGAAAGACGGUUUUGCUGUCACUUAUAGAUGGAUCCGCGCCGCAUUAGCUAGUUGGUAAGGUAACGGCUUACCAAGGCGACGAUGCGUAGCCGACCGGAGAGGGGGGUAGGCCACACUGGAACGGAGACACGGUCCAGGCUCCUACGGGAGGCAGCAGUAGGGAAUCUUCCGCAAUGGGCGAAAGCCUGACGGAGCAACGCCGCGUGAGUGAUGAAGGUCUUCGGAUCGUAAAACUCUGUUAUUAGGGAAGAACAAAUGUGUAAGUAACUAUGCACGUCUUGACGGUACCUAAUCAGAAAGCCACGGCUAACUACGUG